rnacentral:tRNA from 1 species
CCUGAUAGCUCAGUUGGUAAAGAAUCUGCCUGCAGUGCAGGAGACCCAGGUUCAAUUCCUGGGGCAGGA